CGCCCGAACUGAGAUAAUCGAAAAAGAGCCGAGUAUAAUUGAAGAUUACGACCCAUACCGCAGUUGGCAUGGAAGCCAGUAUGGUUCCAGGGCCAGCCUGAGGAUGACUCCCUAGGAGUCAAAACCGAUAUUCGCUAAAUGGAGCCCCUCAGCACCCCAAAGGCUACACAUCUGGGGGCUCAACACUGAACUCAGCUAGGUCGAUUUCUUCCC